rnacentral:rRNA from 1 species
CCUACGGGAGGCAGCAGUGGGGAAUAUUGCUCAAUGGGGGCAACCCUGAAGCAGCAAAGCCGCGUGGGGGAUGACGGUCUUCUGGUUUUUAAAUCUCUUUUGUCGAGGAGCUAAUCCCGCUAUGUGACGCCUGAGCCACGGCGACCGCCGGGACAGCAGCCGCGGUCAUCCGGAGGGUAGAAGCGUUAAUCGGAAUGACUGGACUGAAAUCGCGCUUAGGCGGGAUAGAAAGGCAGAUGGGAAAUCGUAUGGAUUAACCAUCGAACUGCCUUGGAAACUGGUAUUCUAGAGUAUGGGAGAGGUAGGCGGAAUUCUUGGUGUAGGGGUAAAAUCCGUAGAGAUCAAGCUGAACACUCAUUGCGAAGGCGACAUGCUAGAACACAACUGACGCUGAUGCGCGAAAGCGUGGGGAGCAAACAGGAUUAGAUACCCUAGUAGUC